AUCCUUGAUACUGUAGAAGAAAUGAUGACCAAUGUCCUGGAAGACGCUGAUCAGCUGCAACUGACUUAUCUAAUGUUGCUGACAAACGAGCCUGGCGGAAGCGUUUGGAUCGGUCACGUUCUUGACAGUUUGAUGGAAAACAUUGUGAAGGGUCUGGCAUCUGAGUCUUUAACAUGUGAGGAUCUCUUGGGUCCCUUUGAGGGGCUCUUAA